GAGCAGGUCUCCAGGGGAGCGAUGGCAGCCGGUGGUCUGAGUCGCUCCGAGCGCAAAGCGGCUGAGCGGGUCCGGAGGUUGCGGGAGGAGCAGCAGAGGGAGCGCCUCCGCCAGGUACGCCGCCGCCGCUCCCCGGCCCGGCCAUGCCCGGCCCGCGCCGCCGCUCACCGCCUGCCUGCCCGCAGGUGUCGCGCAUCCUGAGGAAGGCGGCGGCGGAGCGCAGCGCCGAGGAGGGCCGGCUGCUGGCCGAGAGCGCGGACCUGGUAACGGAGCUGCAGGGCCGGAGCCGGCGGCGCGAGGGCUUGAAGCGGCGGCAGGAGGAGGUGUGCGACGACCCGGAGGAGCUGCGGGGGAAGGUCCGGGAGCUGGCCAGCGCCGUCCGGAACGCCAAAUACCUGGUCGUCUACACAGGCGCGGGAAUCAGCACGGCAGCGUCUAUCCCAGACUACCGGGGCCCUAAUGGAGUGUGGACACUGCUUCAGAAAGGGAGAAGCGUUAGUGCUGCGGACCUGAGUGAGGCCGAGCCAACCCUCACCCACAUGAGCAUCACCCGUUUGCAUGAGCAGAAACUGGUAAGAGCCCUGGGUGGCUGGUACACUUGCCAGGGACCAGGCAGAGCACCUUGGUGCCUAGUGGGCAGCUGCAUCCUCCCUCUGUCUGCCAGUUGACUCCCAUGAUGAGCACCCACCAAGUGGGUUAGGCCCCGGGUUUGAUCCUCCCAUGCUUGACUCUCCAGGACAGAAGGGGAGCACCCCCUCUGAACCAUCCCAUCCACAGCCAGCCUCAGCCUCAGAGCUGCUGGUGGCCUUUCCCCUUUGUGAUUCCCUUGCAUUUUUCUGUGGACCUCAGAAGCCAUCCUAGUCACAGGGGAGGCUUAUGGGACAUCUCUGGGGACCUUCUGCUGAACACCCUCAACCAACGGGGCAUAGGGGUUGAUCUGCCUAGGUCCCCAGGAACCUGAAAUGUCAUGACCCAAGAGAGCAUGGAUCUGGGGCAGAGUGGCCCUUGCCAAAACCCCGAGCCACUUCCCAACCUUGCCAGGACGGUGCAACCUCUUGCCCUCCCAGCUACUCCAGGUGCAUCAGGGCUGGAGGAAGGACACAGCCCCUCCCCACCAUAGGCCCUCUUGACUCCUGGUGGUUGGACCUGUUGUGUGUUUUACUUUCUAAGACUCUCUGGGGGGUCGGAGCUGCCCCUGGUCUUGGGAGCCAUCGGCUGGGCUCAGAACAGCCUCGCUGUGGCCGGGUACUGACCUCCCUACCACCACUGACGGCUAUCCCUCCCCUCCCCACCCGUUCUGCCUUCCAGGUGCAGCAUGUGGUGUCUCAGAACUGUGACGGGCUCCACCUGAGGAGUGGGCUGCCGCGCACGGCCAUCUCCGAGCUCCACGGGAACAUGUACAUUGAAGUGAGCAGUCCUGCAGGGACCCGGGGUCUCCACGGGCAGGCGGGUCCCACUCACUGUGCCCUCUUGCCUCUAGGUCUGUACCUCCUGCGUUCCCAACAGGGAGUACGUGCGGGUGUUUGAUGUGACAGAGCGCACCGCCCUCCACAGACACCAGACAGGCCGGACCUGCCACAAGUGUGGGACCCAGCUGCGGGACACCAUUGUGCACUUUGGGGAGAGGGGGACGUUGGGGCAGCCUCUGAACUGGGAAGCGGCGACCGAGGCUGCCAGCAGAGCAGACACCAUCCUGUGUCUAGGGUCCAGCCUGAAGGUUCUAAAGAAGUACCCACACCUCUGGUGCAUGACCAAGCCCCCUAGCCGGCGGCCGAAGCUCUACAUCGUGAACCUGCAGUGGACCCCGAAGGAUGACUGGGCUGCCCUGAAGCUACAUGGGAAGUGUGAUGACGUCAUGCGGCUCCUCAUGGCCGAGCUGGGCUUGGAGAUCCCUGCCUAUAGCAGGUGUCAGGAUCCCAUUUUCUCACUGGCGACUCCCCUGCGUGCUGGUGAAGAAGGCAGUCACAGUCGGAAGUCGCUGUGCAGAAGCAGAGAGGAGGCCCCGCCUGGGGACCGGGGUGCACCGCUUAGCUCGGCCCCCAUCCUAGGGGGCUGGUUUGGUAGGGGCUGCACAAAACGCACAAAAAGGAAGAAAGUGACGUAACCUGGUGCUCGAUGAAGAACAGUUGGCACUUUGCAGAUGGCCAGUGUCACGGUGAAGGCUGGGUUGCCCCCACGGGUCUAGGGAGAACUCUUUGGGGAUGAUGUUUUCACCGUAACAUUUUUAGCCAUUUGUCCUUGAGGAAGCCCCUUGCACUGCUGCGGUUGUCUACGGCUUGGCCAUCGAGGACACCUGCCCAUCCGGCCCCUAUGUCAAGAGGUGGCAGCCGCACCUUUCUGUGAGAACGGAACUCGGGUUAUUUCAGCCCCGGCCUGCAGAGUGGAAGCGCCCAGCGGCCUUUCCUCACUCACCAGGCCAGUCUCAGGGCCUCACCGUAUUUCUACUACUUCUUAACGAAAAAAGUGUGAACUUUAUAGAAUCCUCUCUGUACUGGAUGUGCGGCAGAGGGGUGGCUCCGAGCCUCGGCUCUAUGCAGACCUUUUUAUUUCUAUUAAACGUUUCUGCACUGGC
rnacentral:sRNA from 1 species